rnacentral:misc_RNA from 1 species
UCCGGUUUGUCACCGGCAGUCCCAUUAGAGUGCCCAACUGAAUGAUGGCAACUAGGGACAAGGGUUGCGCUCGUUGCGGGACUUAACCCAACAUCUCACGACACGAGCUGACGACAGCCAUGCAGCACCUGUCUCCAGGUUCCCGAAGGCACCCCCACAUCUCUGCGGGGUUCCUGGGAUGUCAAGACCAGGUAAGGUUCUUCGCGUUGCAUCGAAUUAAACCACAUGCUCCACUGCUUGUGCGGGCCCCCGCCAAUUCCUUUGAGUUUCAACCUUGCGAUUGUACUUCCCAGGUGGAAUACUUAAUGCGUUAGCUUGGAUACUGAUUUUUAAAAAAACCAACAUCUAGUAUUCAUCGUUUAGGGUGUGGACUAC